UUGACAAAAUAAAUUAUGGCUUAUUUGGUGUUUGUUUGCUUUAUUCUCUGUUUGGCUGUAUUAAUCUGAGACUACUACAAACUACCAUCCCUUCCUUCCAAUGUUUGCUCCCACUACAUAUAUCACCAAAAUUUUAGAUUAUUCGAAGAGAUGGAAGGGGCGAUGGGGAAGUGGAGGCAGAAUGCGGCUUCGGGGGAUUUUAGGUCUUUGAUAAAGAUUUUACAGGUUUCCUUUGUUGUUGGUACAUCAGAAAGUUGGCAGUGCAGAGGAUGGUGGUGGUGCUCGUCAUCUCCGACGGUUAGCUAUGGACGUGGUGGCCAUGGUAGAUAAUAGAGUGAACGUGGAUUGCAAAGACGGAAAACGAUCAGGGUUAGGUCACUAGGGGCUGUAGAGGAGGCAUGGGCUAAUGCCAUGGUGAAAUGUAGAGCACUAAUCAAAGGGAGCAUGUGGGUAACAAGCAUUAUAUUUUUGAA
rnacentral:misc_RNA from 1 species